UUUUUGGGGGUUGGUCUGAAGGGAGAGCCUCACUCCAACACGCUCAGAAGCUCUGCACUGCAACAGCUGUCGAAUGCGUCUGGCCCGGAUGCAGCGUGGAGCCGCCCGGCGACAGCUGGGUCGGACCGACGCCAUCCCAAAACCAGGAAGCCCGGCGGUGGAGGACGCCGGCCUGGAUCGCACAGCCCCGCUGCCAACUAGGACCAGGCAGCACAAACCAGACUCGCCGAGGCCCUCGCCGCAGGCUCGUAUCAGUCGCCACGGAGGCCCCCCGGCCUAAAAGUCCUAAACCCAGGG
rnacentral:lncRNA from 1 species